rnacentral:tmRNA from 1 species
GGGGGCGAACAGGUUUCGACGGAGAUAGUGAUGCAGAAGUUGCAUGUCGAGGUUCCACCCACCUCGAAAAAAGGUGGAAAACAACUAAGUGCAGAAUCACUGCCUGUUGCUGCCUAACAAGUAGGCAUGCCGUUUCUCAGGCGUUUUCCUGCGGUGCUUGAGAAGCGCCGACCAGCAGGAUAGCGAGUCAGGUUCGUCCUGAGCCUGAUAAGCGAAAUUUCAUCAGGGCUGGUUCGACAGUGUUUUUCCUCUUCGAACACUUUUGAACGAGAAGCAGAAGAGGAUAAGCAUGUAGAAGCUGUCUGCUGAAUGUCUUCGGACGCGGGUUCGAUUCCCGCCGCCUCCAUUA